GCAGGUGGCAAGCGUUGUCCGGAAUUAUUGGGCGUAAAGCGCGCGCAGGCGGUCCUUUAAGUCUGAUGUGAAAGCCCACGGCUCAACCGUGGAGGGUCAUUGGAAACUGGGGGACUUGAGUACAGAAGAGGAAAGCGGAAUUCCAAGUGUAGCGGUGAAAUGCGUAGAGAUUUGGAGGAACACCAGUGGCGAAGGCGGCUUUCUGGUCUGUAACUGACGCUGAGGCGCGAAAGCGUGGGGAGCAAACAGGGAUUAGAUACCCUGGUAGUCCACGCCGUAAACGAUGAGUGCUAAGUGUUAGGGGGUUUCCGCCCCCUUAGUGCUGCAGCUAACGCAUUAAGCACUCCGCCUGGGGAUACGGCCGCAAGGCUG
rnacentral:rRNA from 1 species